rnacentral:rRNA from 1 species
UACGUAGGGGGCUAGCGUUGUCCGGAAUCAUUGGGCGUAAAGCGCGUGUAGGCGGUCCGGUAAGUCCGCUGUGAAAGUCGAGGGCUCAACCCUCGAAUGCCGGUGGAUACUGUCGGGCUUGAGUACGGGAGAGGCGAGUGGAAUUCCUGGUGUAGCGGUGAAAUGGGCAGAUAUCAGGAGGAACACCGAUUGCGAAGGCAGCUCGCUGGAACGUUACUGACGCUGAGACGCGAAAGCGUGGGGAGCAAACAGG